UGAUCCAGCCUGCCGCGUGUGUGAAGAAGGCCUUUUGGUUGUAAAGCACUUUAAGCAGUGAAGAAGACUCCGUGGUUAAUACCCACGGACGAUGACAUUAGCUGCAGAAUAAGCACCGGCUAACUCUGUGCCAGCAGCCGCGGUAAUACAGAGGGUGCAAGCGUUAAUCGGAAUUACUGGGUGUAAAGCGAGCGUAGGUGGCUUGAUAAGUCAGAUGUGAAAUCCCCGGGCUUAACCUGGGAACUGCAUCUGGAACUGUUAGGCUAGAGUAGGUGAGAGGGAAGUAGAAUUUCAGGUGUAGCGGUGAAAUGCGUAGAGAUCUGAAGGAAUACCGAUGGCGAAGGCAGCUUCCUGGCAUCAUACUGACACUGAGGCUCGAAAGCGUGGGUAGCAAACAGGAUUAGAUACCCUGGUAGUCCACGCCGUAAACGAUGUCUACUAGUCGUUGGGUCCCUUGAGGACUUAGUGACGCAGCUAACGCAAUAAGUAGACCGC
rnacentral:rRNA from 1 species